AGUGAACGCUGGCGGUAGGCCUAACACAUGCAAGUCGAACGGCAGCACAGUAAGAGCUUGCUCUUACGGGUGGCGAGUGGCGGACGGGUGAGGAAUACAUCUGAAUCUACUUUUUCGUGGGGGAUAACGUAGGGAAACUUACGCUAAUACCGCAUACGACCUACGGGUGAAAGCAGGGGAUCUUCGGACCUUGCGCGAUUGAAUGAGCCGAUGUCGGAUUGGCUAGUUGGCGGGGUAAAGGCCUACCAAGGCGACGAUCCGUAGCUGGUCUGAGAGGAUGAUCAGCCACACUGGAAUUGGAAACGGGUCCAGACUCCUACGGGAGGAGGCAGUGGGGAAUAUUGGACAAUGGGGGCAAGCCUGAUCCAGACAUACCGCGUGGGUGAAGAAGGCCUUCGGGUUGUAAAGCCCUUUUGUUGGGAAAGAAAAGCAGCAGGUUAAUACCCCGCUGUUCUGACGGUACCCAAAGAAUAAGCACCGGCUAACUUCGUG
rnacentral:rRNA from 1 species